rnacentral:rRNA from 1 species
GUACACGCUGUGACUAGCAUAUCAAUAAGCGGAGGAAAAGAAACUAACAAGGAUUCCCCUAGUAACGGCGAGUGAAGCGGGAAGAGCUCAAAUUUGAAAUCUUAAAGGGUUUCCCUUUACGAAUUGUAGUUUAAAGAAGUGUUUUCUGUUGAAGUUUUGGUAAAAGUUCUUUGGAAUAGGACAUCAUAGAGGGUGAGAAUCCCGUAUUUGACCAUUAUUUUCAGCUGUGUGAUACACUUUCAAAGAGUCGGAUUGUUUGGGAAUGCAGUCCAAAAUGGGUGGUAAAUUUCAUCUAAAGCUAAAUAUUGGCGAGAGACCGAUAGCGAACAAGUACCGUGAGGGAAAGAUGAAAAGAACUUUGAAAAGAGAGUUAAACAGUACGUGAAAUUGUCAAAAGGGAAGCGUUUAACGCCAGUGUUGUUUUCUGAAAAUCAACCUCUGUUAGCUUUAUGCAUGUUUGUUUAGACCUAAUCAGCUAUCUUGCAUGUUCUAUUGUUUGCAGUGGUGCACUUUUCAGUGUACAGGUCAACAUCAGUUUCUUUUGCUGUAAAAGGGUAAGAGGAAGGUGGCUUCGGCUUCGGUUGAAGUGUUUAUAGCCUUUUAUCUCUGCAGUCGGAGAGAUUGAGGUCUGCAGCGUAGACUCUUCGGGGUUAGAUACAUUGGUGCUAAGCUAUAGCCUUGUAUAGACAACUUGUUGACUAUGCUCAGUCAUGUAGCUUACUCGCUGAUGCUAUUUUACCUACGCUUAGGAUGUUGAGCGCAUGUCUCUCUCU